rnacentral:rRNA from 1 species
UACAGAGGUGGGCAAGCGUUGUUCGGAAUUACUGGGCGUAAAGGGCGCGAUAGGCGGCCUUCUAAGUCAGACGUGAAAUCCCCCGGGCUUAACCUAGGGAACUGCGUCUGAUACUGGAGGGCUUGAGUAUGGGAGAGGGAUGUAGAAUUCCAGGUGUAGCGGUGAAAUGCGUAGAUAUCUGGAGGAAUACCGGUGGCGAAGGCGGCAUCCUGGACCAUUACUGACGCUGAGGCGCGAAAGCUAGGGGAGCAAACGGGG